rnacentral:rRNA from 1 species
AUUGAACGCUGGCGGCAGGCCUAACACAUGCGAGUCGAGCGGAUGAAGGGAGCUUGCUCCUGGAUUCAGCGGCGGACGGGUGAGUAAUGCCUAGGAAUCUGCCUGGUAGUGGGGGAUAACGUCCGGAAACGGGCGCUAAUACCGCAUACGUCCUGAGGGAGAAAGUGGGGGAUCUUCGGACCUCACGCUAUCAGAUGAGCCCAGGUCGGAUUAGCUAGUUGGUGGGGUAAAGGCCUACCAAGGCGACGAUCCGUAACUGGUCUGAGAGGAUGAUCAGUCACACUGGAACUGAGACACGGUCCAGACUCCUACGGGAGGCAGCAGUGGGGAAUAUUGGACAAUGGGCGAAAGCCUGAUCCAGCCAUGCCGCGUGUGUGAAGAAGGUCUUCGGAUUGUAAAGCACUUUAAGUUGGGAGGAAGGGCAGUAAGUUAAUACCUUGCUGUUUUGACGUUACCAACAGAAUAAGCACCGGCUAACUUCGUG